CUUAAUGGGGUGACUGCGUACCUUUUGUAUAAUGGGUCAGCGACUUAUAUUCUGUAGCAAGGUUAACCGAAUAGGGGAGCCGAAGGGAAACCGAGUCUUAACUGGGCGUUAAGUUGCAGGGUAUAGACCCGAAACCCGGUGAUCUAGCCAUGGGCAGGUUGAAGGUUGGGUAACACUAACUGGAGGACCGAACCGACUAAUGUUGAAAAAUUAGCGGAUGACUUGUGGCUGGGGGUGAAAGGCCAAUCAAACCGGGAGAUAGCUGGUUCUCCCCGAAAGCUAUUUAGGUAGCGCCUCGUGAAUUCAUCUCCGGGGGUAGAGCACUGUUUCGGCAAGGGGGUCA
rnacentral:rRNA from 1 species